rnacentral:rRNA from 1 species
CCUACGGGGGACAGCAGUGGGGAAUAUUGCACAAUGGGCGAAAGCCUGAUGCAGCGACGCCGCGUGAGGGAUGAAGGUCUUCGGAUUGUAAACCUCUUUCAGCGGUGACGAAACGAGACUGUUCCAUACCUUUACUCAUUGACGGUACCCGCACAAGAAGCACCGGCUAACUCCGUGCCAGCAGCCGCGGUAAUACGGAGGGUGCGAGCGUUAAUCGGAAUUACUGGGCGUAAAGCGCACGUAGGGGGUGUGUGAAGGCAGAUGUGAAAUCUCCGGGCUCAAACUGGGAACUGCAUUUGAAACUGGCAAGCUGGAGUGUAGGAGAGGGGAGUAGAAUUCCAGGUGUAGGGGUGAAAUGCGUAGAGAUCUGGAGGAACAUCAGUGGCGAAGGCGGCUAUCUGGCACAUAACUGACGCUGAGGAGCGAAAGCGUGGGUAGCAAACAGGAGUAGAUACCCGUGUAGUC